CACAAAGGGACAACGGGUAUGCACAGCAGCCACCGGCUCCGCGGUACGCAGCAGCGUCGCUACACAGGGACUACCGGCACCCACGGUCGUCAAACGACCACCAGGGGUACAGGUGGUCCCUCAAACAGUAGCUACAAGAGGUACAACGGGAAGAAGAGCGGGCACAGCUGCGGCACGUAGGGACAUGGCCACCGGGACCACACAGGUACGACGGGCAUCCGUGGUAGUCACCGGCCCCGCGGCCACCGACUCCGCGGUACGCAGCGGCGCCAGUACACAGGGAAGACGGGCAUCCAAGGUGGUCAGACGACCACCAGGGGUACCGGUGGUCCCUCGAAAAGUAACUACAAGAGGUACUGCGGGAAGAAGAGCGACUACAGCCACAGCACGUAGGGGCACGGCCACCUGGGUCACACAAACACGACGGACCUCCGUGAUAGCCACCGGCCCCACGGUGGCCAUCGACUCCGCGGUACGCAGCGGCGCUGUCAUACAGGGACAACUGGCAACCACGGUGGUCAGACGACUACCAGGAGUACCAGUGGUCCCUCGAACAGUAACUACAAGAGGUGCUGCGGGAAGAAGAGCGGCCACAGCCGCGGCACGUAGGGGCACGGCCACCGAGGCCACACAGGCACGACGGGCAUCCGUGGUAGCCACUGGCCCCACGGUACGCAGGGGCGUCACCACACAGGGACGACGGGCACCCACCGUCGCCGGCCGACCACUAGUGGCACCGACGACCUCUCGAAGAGGAACUAGAACGAGUACUACGAGAAGAAGAGCGGCCACGGCACAGGGACCACGAGGUAGGUCGCGGCUUGAACAGUGAGCCCUUUAGAUGAUCACCACAACAAGUGAACCUCGUCCACCAACACACU
rnacentral:rRNA from 1 species